UACCAGCACCCCGAGUGGUCGGGACGAUUAUUGGGCCUAAAGCAUCCGUAGCCGGUCCUACAAGUCUUCCGUUAAAUCCACCUGCUUAACAGAUGGGCUGCGGAAGAUACUAUAGGGCUAGGAGGCGGGAGAGGCAAGCGGUACUCAGUGGGUAGGGGUAAAAUCCUCUGAUCCAUUGAAGACCACCAGUGGCGAAGGCGGCUUGCCAGAACGCGCUCGACGGUGAGGGAUGAAAGCUGGGGGAGCAACCAGG
rnacentral:rRNA from 1 species